ACGCUUUAUUUGUGAGGCACUCAGAUAACACAGUGAUUGGUGUCUGGUUAGACAGAUGGGGUUUUAUUCUUUUUCUCUGAUCCUUUAAAGUUAGGUAUUCUAUUUUGAAAACUGAUUUGACACCUGGCCAGAUUGCUCAAAGCAGAGGCUUGGGAGAGGUUGUAUUAUUUCAGUGUUACAAAGGCAGGCAAAAUGAGCAAGAGUGGUGCACUUGCCUUGAGAAGUGAGAAAUCACAUACAGAGUCUAGAACACACAAAAUCUAGGCUCAAUAUAUCCUGUCAGGGAACCUCUGUGCCUGCAGCCCUGCCGUGCUACAGUGCUGACCACGACCCUGAGACCGCGCACAGGAACCACCCCGGUGACUGCAGACUGGGAAGAGCAAAUCAGCACUCACACCAUCCAGCCUGACAUCUGCCCAGGCUUGCAUCUGCAGUCCCAAAUCAGAGCAUUCCAGGGUCAAGCUAAGGAAAAUAAUCCAGCAUUGGAUGAUGGAGCCACCAGAGUCGACCUUUUAGAAGACCUUCCCCUUUUCCCCAACUCUCCUGAUAUUUUUUAAAACUAUAUGAUUAUCUAGGGUUUUUUGGUGUUUUUUGUUUUUUUUUUUUUUAAAUAUUUUCAUUUUCAUUUUACCUCUAUCUUUACUCAGAAAUUCUCUCUUGAUUCCUGCUCCAGUUCUAGCUGCCCUGGGCAACAACUCCAUUAACAUAUCACUAAUACCCUCCACUUAUCUUUUUAAAACAAAAAAUUGAAAAAAGCCCAGUUUAAUCUCAGGAGACUAUGAUCAUCUUUAACUUAGCAUAGUCUAAUGGUUAAAGCAAUAUAAUAGAGGGAAAGAAUAUCUGCAUAUGACAAAACUUCCCUCAGAGAAUCAUAUAAGCUCUGUAUCAUAGCUUCUUUGUAUGUAAGGUAAGAUUUAUACCUGACAAGGUGUUGUGAAAAUCUAUAUAUGGUAUGCAUUAUUUUGGCCCUCUUCAUUUCCCUAUUGUGUCUGCAGAAUACUAAUUACAUGACUUGAACUCAUGGUUUUGUGAGUCUACUUGUGUGAUUUCAGAACAAAAUCACCUUUCAUUUACUCUUUUUCUCCCUCCAUCGUAGCUAAUAAAUAAAAAACAUUAGAGGAACGCAGAAAUCCUGCUCUAUUGAACUAGUGGUACCUAGCACCAUUAAUGCUUUAAUCAUCAAAACCACAGUGGGGAUAUAAUUUUCAGACUGAUUUUAAAGAGGUGUUCUCCAAAUAAUGAGAGGAAUACUAAUCCUUGUACACUCAAACUGAUGUUCUUCGAUGCAUAGAUCAAACCACAGCAUUGCACUGGAUUCUUUGUAAAAAUGUGUAAAAGUCUUUGAGUUUCAUCUGCAUAAAACACUGCAGAAAAGUGAAAUUUGUAGGACUGAUUGGAGCAUUUCUGAUCAUUUUGUCAGGAUGUAUGUGAUACUCUAGCAAAAUUGCACCACCUUUGAUUUCACAUUGCUGCUGUUGUUUCUUUGUUCUUUCUCUCUCUCUUUUAAAUUUUUUUUUGUAUUUUUAAUUUUUUUUUUUUAUUUCAUGAGGCAGACAUGGAAAGGCACUGAUGAGAGGUAUUAGUCAAGGGAGGCAUUACUGCUGCUGAGAAGGUGAAAUACAUAUCAGUGCUGAAGAGAGGGACUGAUAGAUGUGGGUGGGUAUAUCACCGUCUCCACUACUGGAUAGAUGGAGGGUAGAAAAAUACAGUGUUGUAGAUGAUAAACUGUUGUAGACACAACAAUUAAAUCAUUCCCCUUGUACACCAAUAUAAGGGAAAAAGACUCAAUUCAUUUGGAAGCUGAUGUACUCAGGAUAUGGACAAACUGGGGUAGUCAGAACCAAGUUACACCCCUAUUGCCAUUCCCUUUAUACAGCACUUCAGGAAUCACCACACUAAUGAGACUCAAUAUCUUCCUCCUGGCUUUAAAAAUUGUCCCUUUUCAGGCCAAAUUUAUUAUCUCCUCACACUUCUUCCUGUUGGCACACUCCUGAGGCAGAUCAUUGAGUAAACACUGAGCUCAGUCAGUGCAGUUGCUGCAAAUGCUCAUAUUUGUCAUGACAGUGAUUCAGUGGGAUUUGAAAUGAUGGCAUAUUCUGAGCUCACAGAACAUUUCUCUUGCACAGGCCAUGUGACCUGACUGAGGUCAGUCUUGCUCACUAAUCUUACUGCUCUUUGCCCAGAAGGCUUUACACCUGUAUGACUACAUGAAAUAUUAAUUUCUUUUUCUGCAAAAGCAUACCUUCUUAUGCUGGAAAACAAAAGUGCUUUGAUCAAAUUGUUUAAAUUACUUUGUGCAAUCUUGUAUUUAAUGUAGUUUAGAGAAACUUAAAAGAAAUUCUGGAUUAUUUUUUCUUUUUCUUUCUUCCUGUGCUCAGUUUUGACACUGGAAAGAACUAAUUUUGUCUCUUUUUCCAAAUAAUUAUAAGUAAAAAUACUUAAACUAUUUUC